rnacentral:rRNA from 1 species
AUUGAACGCUGGCGGCAGGCCUAACACAUGCAAGUCGAACGAGUGGCGGACGGGUGAGUAAUGUCUGGGAAACUGCCUGAUGGAGGGGGAUAACUACUGGAAACGGUAGCUAAUACCGCAUACCAUCAGAUGUGCCCAGAUGGGAUGAGCUAGUGGGUGGGGUAACGGCUCACCAAGGCGACGAUCCCUAGCUGGUAUGAGAGGCGGACCAGCCACACUGGAACUGAGACACGUUUCAGACUCCUAAGGGAGGCAGCAGUGGGGAAUAUUGCACAAUGGGCGAAAGCCGGAUGCAGCCAUGCCGCGUGUAUGAAGAAGGCCUUCGGGUUGUAAAGUACUGUCAGCGGGGAGGCGUUACCCGCAGAAGAAGCACCGGCUAACUCCGUGCCAGCAGCCGCGGUAAGUC